GAUGAACGCUAGCUACAGGCUUAACACAUGCAAGUCGCGGGGCAGCAUGGGGGUUGCUUGCAAUCCCCGAUGGCGACCGGCACACGGGUGAGUAACGCGUAUCCAACCUGCCCUUCACCACGGGAUAACCCGGCGAAAGUCGGACUAAUACCGUAUGUUGUCCAUUGACGGCAUCCGAUUUGGACGAAAGGCUUGGCGGUGAGGGAUGGGGAUGCGUCCGAUUAGCCAGACGGCGGGGUAACGGCCCACCGUGGCUACGAUCGGUAGGGGUUCUGAGAGGAAGGUCCCCCACACUGGAACUGAGACACGGUCCAGACUCCUACGGGAGGCAGCAGUGAGGAAUAUUGGUCAAUGGGCGUAAGCCUGAACCAGCCAAGUAGCGUGCAGGAUGACGGCCCUAUGGGUUGUAAACUGCUUUUAUGCGGGGAUAAAGUGGCCCACGUGUGGGCUUUUGCAGGUACCGCAUGAAUAAGGACCGGCUAAUUCCGUG
rnacentral:rRNA from 1 species